rnacentral:rRNA from 1 species
AUUGAACGCUGGCGGCAUGCCUUACACAUGCAAGUCGAACGGUAACAGGUCUUCGGAUGCUGACGAGUGGCGAACGGGUGAGUGAUACAUCGGAACGUGCCCGAGAGUGGGGGAUAACGGAGCGAAAGCUUUGCUAAUACCGCAUACGAUCUCAGGAUGAAAGCAGGGGACCGCAAGGCCUUGCGCUCACGGAGCGGCCGAUGGCAGAUUAGGUAGUUGGUGGGAUAAAAGCUUACCAAGCCGACGAUCUGUAGCUGGUCUGAGAGGACGACCAGCCACACUGGGACUGAGACACGGCCCAGACUCCUACGGGAGGCAGCAGUGGGGAAUUUUGGACAAUGGGCGCAGGCCUGAUCCAGCCAUGCCGCGUGCAGGAUGAAGGCCUUCGGGUUGUAAACUGCUUUUGUACGGAACGAAACGGCUCUUUCUAAUAAAGAGGGCUAAUGACGGUACCGUAAGAAUAAGCACCGGCUAACUACGUGCCAGCAGCCGCGGUAACAC